CCUACGGGUGGCAGCAGUGGGGAAUAUUGGACAAUGGGGGGAACCCUGAUCCAGCCAUGCCGCGUGUGUGAAGAAGGCCCUCGGGUUGUAAAGCACUUUCAGUGAGGAAGAACGCCUGGUGGUUAAUACCCAUCAGGAAAGACAUCACUCACAGAAGAAGCACCGGCUAACUCCGUGCCAGCAGCCGCGGUAAUACGGAGGGUGCGAGCGUUAAUCGGAAUUACUGGGCGUAAAGCGCGCGUAGGUGGCUUGAUAAGCCGGUUGUGAAAGCCCCGGGCUCAACCUGGGAACGGCAUCCGGAACUGUCAAGCUAGAGUGCAGGAGAGGAAGGUAGAAUUCACGGUGUAGCGGUGAAAUGCGUAGAGAUCGGGAGGAAUACCAGUGGCGAAGGCGGCCUUCUGGACUGACACUGACACUGAGGUGCGAAAGCGUGGGUAGCAAACAGGAUUAGAUACCCGGGUAGUC
rnacentral:rRNA from 1 species